rnacentral:misc_RNA from 1 species
GUAUUUUAUUAACUUUUUUUAUAGUUCAAAUGUUUACAAAGUGUGUGUGUAAAAGAUGGAAAGUUCCGAGGGCGUUAACCCUCUUUCGUUUCCACAAUGGUUCACAGGUGUGUGUAAAAAGGAUCGAACUAAAAGUGAGUGUGCAACAUGCCCUCGCGAAAGGGCCAGCGACAACUGCACAAAUUAGCUCUUUUAACUUUUUCGAUAAUGAUCCUUCCGCAGGUUCACCUACGGAAA